AUGGCGGACAAGCAGUACUUCGCUGGCCCGUGCGGGGCGCCACAUGGGCUGCUGCUGGCGGUGGUGGUGGGGCUACUGGUUGCGUGGCCGCUUUUCGUGGGUGCCCGCGGCGAGGCGGUCACCGAUGCCAUCGCCGAGCUGCUCGGCCCCGUGGGCCUGCUCCUCCUCCCCGUCGGGCUCCUCCUCCUCAUCAGCCUCCUCUCCUCGGAUUGCGGCCCUGGCGUGUUCGCGUUCGGCGGCUCGCCCGACACCAUGCACCACGUCGGGGGAUCCCCCAUCGGCGUGGCGGUCAUGCUGAUCCUCAUCCUCGCCCUUCUCUACUACCGGUCCAUGCUCUUUGGCGGCGGCGGAGACGACGACGAGUAA
rnacentral:rRNA from 1 species